AUUGAGUUUCUUUUGAGCCUUUUGAAGUCUCUUCUCCUGAUUGGCAGCCUUUCCUUAGAAAACUUAAGUUUCUUCUCUAGACUCUUGAUGUGAGCAUUAAUUUUGACCACCAUCAUCAAAGGAAGAGGAGUAGCCAGUGAAGAAGCAGCAGUUAUCAUGCCGACGUCACAAACAUCAUUCGCCAACUAUGUAAAUAAUUGAAAGCGA
rnacentral:lncRNA from 1 species